rnacentral:rRNA from 1 species
GAUGAACGCUGGCGGCGUGCCUAAUACAUGCAAGUCGAGCGAACAGAUAAGGAGCUUGCUCCUUUGAAGUUAGCGGCGGACGGGUGAGUAACACGUGGGUAACCUACCUAUAAGACUGGGAUAACUUCGGGAAACCGGAGCUAAUACCGGAUCACAUUUAGAACCGCAUGGUUCUAAAGUGAAAGAUGGUUUUGCUAUCACUUUAGAUGGACCCGCGCCGUAUUAGCUAGUUGGUAAGGUAACGGCUUACCAAGGCGACGAUACGUAGCCGACCUGAGAGGGUGAUCGGCCACACUGGAACUGAGACACGGUCCAGACUCCUACGGGAGGCAGCAGUAGGGAAUCUUCCGCAAUGGGCGAAAGCCUGACGGAGCAACGCCGCGUGAGUGAUGAAGGGUUUCGGCUCGUAAAACUCUGUUAUUAGGGAAGAACAAAUGUGUAAGUAACUGUGCACAUCUUGACGGUACCUAAUCAGAAAGCCACGGCUAACUACGUG